rnacentral:misc_RNA from 1 species
GCCGGCCGACACUGCGGU